CAAACGGCCCUUUUCAGGGCCACCACAAUAGAGUAAAUUGCAGUCU
rfam:Lottia gigantea unplaced genomic scaffold LOTGIsca_32, whole genome shotgun sequence.